rnacentral:piRNA from 1 species
ACACGGUGCUCCAGACUGAAAGGUGG